CCGUGAACCACAGCUGCCCCCUGCCUCUGCAGGAGACCCUCCAACACUAGCAGAAGACAUCCAAGAUGGUUGGGAAGUUUGCUGGUCUAGCUACGGAGUUCCCUAGAAGAGUUCUUGUUGCCAAGCCCCACCCAAGGUCAGAGACCCACUUCACAAGGGCUGUUUGGGGUAAGCCAGGGGGAAAAUAACAACACCUUUGAAGAGUGCUGAACUUGGCUUUAAUUGAGCUCUUCCUGUUGAUUAGAAUCUAUUUGCAUUCAUUUUCCAGCAGAAUGAAAAUGCUUCUCUGCUUCCUCAGAUGGCACAGAGCAUGAGAGGAGGGCUGCAUGUGCUGCUGAGGAUGCUGUUUGGGCAAAAUUAGCCAAGAAGAUGGGAAGGAGAAGACAGUCUGCGCUCUGUGUCGUCACCUGCUGAGACUGCUUUCUUGAAUGAGUGGUCACGCAUGAGAUCCUGUGCAGUACCCUCCCCCAGAAUCAGCAUGGUUGUCUCCACAUGUGUGUUAAGAUCACAUGGUAAAAUGCCCUGAUUUUGCUAAGGGGAAGUAUCCCUCCCUCUCACAUUGGAUGCUGCCUUGGAUGGUCAUUGUUGGCUUCCUGUUCUUUUCUGGCCAAGAGGUAGACUGGUGAUGCAAGCUCAGGUUAUAAAACACAACCUGGACUUUUUUUCUGACAGUUUUUCAAACAUUGUUAUUAUCAUGUUAAAGAUAAGCUGUAUUCCAAAAUGUGUAGCUACAUUCCAAAUCAUGUCAAGGAUUUUACUUUGUUAAUUUGGAUGAGAUCAUGGGUUGUGGGCAUAAUUCAAAGUGUCUGGACUUCUAGGACCAGAUGUGGUCUGAGAUUGAUGUAUACAAGGACAUCGGAAACAAAAAAUUAAAUUGCAACAAAAGAAAUGAAGAUGCAAAGUAAUGAGUGUUUUACUGUGUGAAAAGGCACAUAUGCAGAAAAGAGUCAUAGUGCUUCCUCUGUGGAGGGCUCAGCCCUAUAAAACAGAGUCCAUUGUUGGUCUGUGGAAAUGUCCCCAGAGUCAGGCCAGGAAGGCGGCAUUGCUUCUCGACCUGCUUCUGAGGUAGGGGACCUUGAGUUAUUCCUGGUCCUGCCAAGUUGUCUGGGCCCAACCACUUAACUUUUUUCUAUAAAAUGGGAAUAUCAUUGGCCUCUUUCCUGUGAGUUUGGGAAGCCCUUCCUAGAGAUUGCUACACACACCCAGCCAAACUCCCAAGAACUUGGUUCCUGAGCAGAGUGGCUGAAGAAUGAAGAUGGUGGGAAUUUGCUCAUUCCAAGGGUGGUGCUUAAUCCAGGUCCCUGCUCCUGGAUCUCUGGGGCUGCUCUGGUUCUGUCCCUCAGGCAGCUCUGUCUUAGCCAACAGAAAGGAGUUUCCUGGAAGGCUAUGUGGUAGGAGGUCCAAAGACUCGGAACCUGUUUCUGCUGCAUGUAGUCACUGGCGCACUUUCUCUUGAUACCCUCUUUCUUGCUGGUUACAUCUAUGCACACAACUUCAAAUAUAAUCUUUAUGCAGAAAGCUUGGAGCCGUGUCUCCAGCUCUGAACUUUCUCCUAGCACAGCAGGAAGAAUAGCUCUGCAGGGAUGUGAUGUUAUUAGCAAAAGAACCAAAUUCCCACUGCCCUGAGAGCCUACCUUCCUGUCCUAGCCACCCAUCUCCUGGCUCCCUCUGUCCUAAUCCCAUCCAUUCUGUCCUGAACUAUCUCGUGCAGGCCUCCCAUCCAGGCCCACUGCUGUUGCCUUGGUUCAGGCUUCCUUUAUCUCUUGCCUGUUGCUUCCCUCCGCUAACUGGUCCCUGCACUGCUAGGCAAAGUCAUACAAGCUCAAAAGCCUUCAGGGGCCAGGCAGGUCAUGCAUGUGUGUGAAGUAAAAGGGCUUGUUGGGAACGGGGGUGCUGACUGGCUAUCUUUAGACAGGGUUUUGUGGGCUGUUUCCAGUUUUCAGUCUGCUGUCUCCAGUCUUUAGCCUUAGGGUUGUCCAGGUCCGCUCAUCAUGCCUUGUGUCCUGCUCUAGUCUUCAGGUGCCAUAUAAGGAUGAAGGUCCACAAAGCCUCUUACAGUAUACCCAUGCAGCUGGAGUGCUGGGGACUUGGUGGGAUCAAAUAAUGGGAGUGCUUUGGAAAAUGUAGGUUUGGGUCAGUUUACUGUUCUCCCAAUGUGCCCCUCACAUUCCUGCCCUGAUGCUGGACUUUGGAUUCGGCUGGAACUUGACCUUCUCUAAGAAGGCUUCUCUCUUUCCUAUUAAAUUAACCUCUCUAAGCCUCCAUCUCCUCCUCUGUAAAAAGGGCGUAAAGCUGGGCUUCCCUGGUGGCGCAGUGAUUGAGA